AAUACAUAGAUAAUCUGUCCUCAACUUGGGAAUAACGGUUGGAAACGACCGCUAAUACCGAAUGUGGUAUGUUUAGGCAUCUAAAACAUAUUAAAGAAGGGGAUCUUCGGACCUUUCGGUUGAGGGAGAGUCUAUGGGAUAUCAGCUUGUUGGUGGGGUAAUGGCCUACCAAGGCUUUGACGUCUAGGCGGAUUGAGAGAUUGACCGCCAACACUGGGACUG
rnacentral:rRNA from 1 species